CCUACGGGAGGCUGCAGUGGGGAAUAUUGGACAAUGGGCGAAAGCCUGAUCCAGCCAUGCCGCGUGUGUGAAGAAGGCCUUCGGGUUGUAAAGCACUUUCAGUGGGGAAGAAAGCCUUGGGGCUAAUACCCUCGAGGAAGGACAUCACCCACAGAAGAAGCACCAGCUAACUCCGUGCCAGCAGCCGCGGUAAUACGGAGGGUGCGAGCGUUAAUCGGAAUUACUGGGCGUAAAGCGCGCGUAGGCGGUCUGAUAAGCCGGUUGUGAAAGCCCCGGGCUCAACCUGGGAACGGCAUCCGGAACUGUCAGGCUAGAGUGCAGGAGAGGAAGGUAGAAUUCCCGGUGUAGCGGUGAAAUGCGUAGAGAUCGGGAGGAAUACCAGUGGCGAAGGCGGCCUUCUGGACUGACACUGACGCUGAGGUGCGAAAGCGUGGGUAGCAAACAGGAUUAGAUACCCUUGUAGUC
rnacentral:rRNA from 1 species